rnacentral:rRNA from 1 species
UACAGAGGUCUCAAGCGUUGUUCGGAUUCAUUGGGCGUAAAGGGUGCGUAGGUGGCGAUGUAAGUCUGGUGUGAAAUCUCGGGGCUCAACCCCGAAAUGGCAUUGGAUACUGCGUUGCUUGAGGAUUGUAGAGGAGAGUGGAAUUCACGGUGUAGCAGUGAAAUGCGUAGAUAUCGUGAGGAAGACCAGUUGCGAAGGCGACUCUCUGGGCAAUUCCUGACACUGAGGCACGAAGGCCAGGGGAGCAAACGGG